GUGCUUGCUUCGGCAGCACAUAUACUAAAAUUGGAACAGUACAGAGAAGAUUAGCAUGGCCCCUACAAGGAUGCACAAAUUCAUGAAGCGUUCCAUAUUAAA
ensembl:snRNA U6 U6 spliceosomal RNA